rnacentral:tRNA from 1 species
GCGGAUAUGGUGAAAGUGGUAGACACGCCGCCCUUAGAAGGCGGUGCCUUAAAAGCGUAGAGGUUCAAGUCCUCUUAUCCGCACCA